ensembl:lncRNA
CAGUUGAAUAGUGUUACAUACACCUCCGUUUAAUCUUGCUGACAAUGGAUUGGAGCCUGCUGCUACUGAGCCGCCCCGUGAUGGAAAAGUGAAUACCAGUGAGACAUCAGGUUGAUGUUGAGCUAUGAUGGAAACAAAUUGGUGAAAAUUAUAAAAGAGAGAUAAAAGAUGGAAAGAGGAGUGUGAAUUACCUGAAUACGGGACUGGGUUCUGUGACGAGCUGCAGAUCAGUGGUGUUUUCUCUGCUGAAGAGUCUUGUCAAGUUCAGUAGUUCUUCUCGAUGCUGCAUUUUAAAAAAUAUGUUCCCCUGAACUUCAUCCAGUCUUGUUAUUGGUUGUGAUUUAAAGGGUUCUAAUUUUCUUUUAAUCUUAUGUAACUGGUGGAAUCAUUUAUCUGUUGAUAUGUGUAAACCUGCCUAGCAUCCGAAUUUAUUGUAAUUAGCUAAAAAUGUGAAAAAUAUUU